AGGAAUCUCUCAGCUAUAGGGUACAUUUGGGAAGAACAUACAAUUGAAGACCAUUUUCAAACUUCUAGAAGUCAUGGAAGCUUGCGUCCUGCCAUCUGAUCAUCUCAAGUAUUUGCUGCCCUCAAUAUAUCUGAUUGGAGCCUGUCGUUCCUACAAUCCCAGUUGAUUCAGAACUUAUAAGAGUCCAGCUUUCUCUGUGAUCCUUUGCUUGUGGGCUCCUGAGAAUCUGAAAUUCUGGGUGUGUCAGAGUUUUUGGCAGUCAAGCUUCCUCUGAGACCCUGAAAUACUGGUGUGAACAAGCUCUUUUUAUCCUAGGAUCCUGUUGUCAAAGAUCCUGGGCAUGUUACAGUGCCUGGAGGUGGUGUUUUCUUUGAGGAGUGUGGAGCUGUCUGGUCAGUGGUCCUAAGUUAGUGUGGACAGUCCUCUAGGGACCAUGGGUGUGUCCGCCAACUCUGCACACAAGGUGACCAAGUACUGGCGCCAAGAGGAAGGGACUUGUAACUCUGGUCAGGCAUGUUUUCUGCGUCCCUAAUGCUGUCUCAGGUUCCGUGUGCGAGAGGAUUGGAACAGAAGUUGUGUUCCACUAACCAAUGGUCCUAAGUACACGAGAAGAGUCCUCUAGGGACCUUAGGGAUGUCCGCCGACUCUGAGCCCAAAGUGACCCUGUGCUGGCACCGACUGGAAGGGACCAUCUGGUGUAAUUCUAAUAGCCCUGCCUCUAUAUGUUACUUGACCUUUGUCCCUUACUGCUUUCAAUAUUGUAUCUUUAUUUAGUUCAUUUGUUGUUCUGAUUAUUAUGUGUCAGGAGAUACUUUUCUGGUCCUGUUUAUUUGGAGUUCUAUAGGUCCCUUGUAUGUUCAUGGGCAUCUCUUUUUGGUUGGGGAAAUUUACCUCUAUAAUUUUGUUGAAGAUAUUUACUGGUGCUUUGAAUUGAAAUUCUCCAUUCUCAUUUAUACCUAUUAUCUGUAGGUUUGGUCUUCUCUUUGAGUCCCGGAUUUCCUGCAUGUUUUUGGUUAGGAUCAUUUUGCAUUUUCUUUGAUUGUUGUAUCCAUGUUCUCUAUGGAAUCUUCUGCACCUGGGUCUCUCCCGUCCAUCUCUUGUAUUGUUGCUGAUGCUUGUAUCUCUGGUUUCUUAUUUCUUUCCCAGUGUUUCUAUCUACAGAGUUGUCUCCCUUUGGGGUUUCUUUACCAUUUCUACUUCCAUUUUAAGAUCUUGGAUGGAUUUGUUCAAUUCUGUCACCUCUUUGGUUGUAUUUUCUUGUAAUUCUUUAUGGGAUUUUUGUCUUUCCUCUUUAAGGUCUUCUACCUGUGUAGCAGUGAUUUCCUAUAAUUCCUUGAGGGAUUCUUUGUGCUUCCUAUUUAAGUGCUUCUACCUGUUUAGCCGUGUUCUCCUGAAUUUCUUUAAGUGAGUUAUUAAUGCACUUCUGAACAUCCUAUACCAACAUCAUGAGAUAAGAUUUUAGAUUCGAAUCUUGCUUUUCAGGUGUGUUGGUGUAUUUGAGACUCGUUGUGGUGGGCGUACUGGGUUCUGAUGAUGCCCAGUGGUCUUGGUUUCUGUUAGGAAGAUACUUUCAUUUGCCUUUCGCCAUCUGGUAGUCUUUGGUGUUAGAUGUUCUAGCUGUCUCUGGUUGAAGCUUGUUCCUCCUGUGUUCUUUAACCCCUGUCAGCACUCCUGGGAGACUAAUUCUCUCCUGUGUCCCAGUGGUCAGAACACUCUCUGCAGGCAAGCUCUCCUCUUGCAGAGAAGGUGCACAGAAGUCUGGAGCUCCGAUCUACUUCCUGAUUCCUGAGGUCAGAGCCCUCCCCAGAGGCCAAUUCUCCUCUGGCAGUGAAGGUGUCCAGGAGUCUGGGUUCCAGCUCUGUCUUCUGGCUGAGGAUGAAGGCCUGAAGGGACCCUGUCCAAGAAGCUUGGUUGAUUCUGCUGCCCAUGUACUCUUCUGCAUAAACUGGUUUCAGUGAUCCCAAUAUUCUGGGUGUGCUAGGGCCUGCCUAUGUCCUUUGACCCUGUUUUUGCUAGCACAAGACCCUCUGGAUUUUUUGGAACUGAUGUUGUGUUCCACUCACCAGUGAUCUCAAGGAACUGGGUGUGCUAAUGUGCCAGCCUUGUGGGGAGUCCUCUGGGGACCUUAGGGCCCUCCACAGAGACCGCCUCAAACACUCUUAAACAAUUACUUCUGUCUCAUUUAUCCCUAAAAGCAAUUAAACAAAUCUCAUAGAUUUCUAUUCUUUUUUCUGAUUAUAGCUCUGGGCAGUUUCUACUAUCGACCUCUGUCUCUUCUUUCUGAGCUACCUCUCUGUCUGUACUGCACCUCCAAGCUCAAACUAUUUGAGACAGACAGAAAUCUUUGAGAAGGGCCCAUGGUAAAUCCAGACCAACAAGGAUGGCCGGAUCAACUUGGAGGAUUUUGGUGAGUCCCAGCAUAUUCCAAGAACCCAAGAAUUAUGCAAACCAAUUCAGCUCAACUUUUGUUUUAGUUGUGAACUUGUACAACUUGGUGAGGAACUAGAUGGCUCAGCAAAACCAGCAACUCCACUAAGAAUCCAAUUUUCCCCAUCCCUUAAUUUCACAACUUAGCAUUGGUUUUUCAUUCGAGAAUCUCCAGUAAGUUUUGAAUACUGCGUUUCAGCCUAUAGGUGUGAUGCCUUCUGUAAACUCAGUUGUUACUCUGCUCUACUAUAGGAUGCCACCUGUGUAAGUUCCUAGCUCAGCUUGCAAAUGCUUUGGAGUCUGAAAUGAAAGACAAACAGCUUUAUUUAAUAUGCCAAAUCAGUUCAUUAGAUGGGACACUCCCAAUCAUCCACAUUGCUAAUGGCUCCUCUAUGGCACUCCUGAAUUACUAAAAUCUAUAGCCCAUCUCUGCUUCCCCAGAACCAAUCAGAAGAGGGAACACUGGGACUACUCUUCCACAGCUCUUAUGUGGCUGGUAUUCUGUCUUUCCCAUCUCUCAAGCCAGCAUCCAAUUCCUUUACUGGCAUGGAGAUCCUCUUUGUUCCCCUUGUCAUGAAUCCAAAAAUCCUGCCUGUGUCUCCUCCCUAGCCAUUGGCUGCUGGCACUUUAGUUUCCCAGUUAUAAUCAGCCUGGGGCAGGGAAUCUCAGUGUCUCAAAUGCAAGAUUAUUAUGAAAUUUGGGAACAAUUUAACAUGAGUAGCAUGAGAACCAAUAAACAAUUGGGAAUAAACAGAAAAACAAGGCAAAUCCAAGCACCAGGCCCUAAGUAUUGCCUUUUGGUUAUUACCCUUCAUUUACUCAUAUGGUGAAACUACGUUCAAGUUUCCAGGCAUCAGGUAUUGUGGAGGUGCAACCUAACUUUACUCAUAUUUUGUUCUUGAAAACAUAAUGACUGUCUCUAAUAAAGCUUUCUGCUUUUCAUAGUGUGCUUCUCAAAACAUAACACCUGUUCUUUACCACCAAAGAACAAAUCCAAGUGAUUGUUUAAACUAUAAUACCUAUAUUCUAUAACAGUUGAUACAGUAAACUACAUAAGCCCCUGUCCUUAAAUCCUGAUUGGUGUGAAAAUGAAGCUGAAAGAAAGAUGAAAUUUCAAGACCUGUAAGUCAUAUAAAGUACUCAGAAAUUGCUGGUUGUUUGUAAGCUUAGAGGCUCCUGGGGCUGAGAACAAAGAAAAAAAAACCCGGGCAUUCCUGGGAACAGCUUGACCAAAAAGAUAAAGAGCAAUAUGAGGACAUAACAGGGCUAUCUGAACUGAGUCAACAACUCACAGAACCCUGACCUGCACAUAUUCUUUUGCUGAUGUUUGAAUAAGCCAAUAGUGUGUCACGAUGCUGAGUUCCCCACCCCUAAGCCCUUUACCCCAUAAAAACCCCUAGCUUUUGAGCCUCGGGGUCGAAUCCAGUGUCUCCUGUGUGAGAUUCGUUUUUGACAUGGAGCUCUGUCAUUAACCUACCUCAUGUGUUUACAGUAAGGAGGACUCUUGUGUUUCUUUGGGUGCACUCUCUCUCCCCAGACUAGAGCAGCAGUCCCUGAAAGGGGGUCUUACAAAGCUAUAAUUUUGAAGGAAUGUUUCUGCCUGUCCCUCCCUUUUUUUAAAUAUAUAUAAAUGUUUCUUUCUUUUAUUGUUUACUCUUUUUUUUAUACAAUCCACACCUUCUACCCCUUAUCUUAUUCAGAGUUUCUAUUCCUGCACAAACAUCAUGACCAAGAAACAAGUUGGGGAGGAAAGAAUUUAUUCAGCUUACACUUUCAUACUGCUGUUCAUCACAAUGGAAGUCAGGAAAGGAACUCAAGCAGGUCAGGAAGCAGGAGCUUAAGUAGAGGCCAUGGAGGGAUGUUUCUUUACUGGCUUGCUUCCCCUGGCUUGCUCAGCCUCCUCUCUUAUAGAACCCAAGUCUACCAGCCCAGAGAUGGUCCCACCCACAAGCAGCCUUUCCCCCUUGAUCACUAAUUGAGAAAAUGGCUGUCCUCCAAAAAAGGAAAGAGCCUGGUGUGGGGGCACACACCUUUAAUCCCAGCACUCAGGAAGCAGAGGCAGGUGGAUUUCUGAGUUUGAGGUAAGCCUGGACUACAAAGUGAGUUCCAGGAUAGCCAGGGCUACACAGAGAAACCCUGUCUCAAAAAAAAACAAAGGGGGGGGGGGCGGAGAGAGAAAAUGCCUUACAGCUGGAUCACAUGGAAGCAUUUCCCCAACUGAAGCUCCUUUCUUUGUGAUAACUCCAGCUUGUGUCAAGUUGACACCAAACUUGUCAGUACAAUUGACCCCUUGUCAACUUGACACACAAAUACAUCACUAGUAAGCCUCAACCCUUAGUUUCUUAUUCAUCCCCAAGAUCUAAACAACUUUAAAUGUCCCUGUCUUAGUUAGGGUUUUACUCCUGUUAACAGAUACCAUGACCAAGGCAAGUCUUAUAAAAAACAUUUAAUUGGGGCUGGCUUACAGGUUCAGAGGUUCAGUUCAUUUUCAAGGUGGGAGCAUGGCAGUAUCCAGGCAGGCAUGGCACAGGAGGAGCUGAGAGUUCUAUGCCUUCAUCCAAAGACUGCUAGUGGAAGACUGACAUCCAGGCAACUAGGGUGAGGAUCUUAUACCCACACCCACAGUGACACACCCAUUCCAACCAGGUCACACCUAUUGCAACAAGGCCACACCUUCAGAUGGUGCCACUCCCUGGUCCAAGGAUAUACAAACCAUCACAGUCCCAUAGUCUUUACAUAUUAAAAGUUCAAUCCUUUUAAAAUAUUCAAUAUCCUUUAAAUUCCAAACUGUUUUACAAACUCUUAACUGUGGAAUCCACUAAAAUAUUUUUUUCCUUCAAAGGGAAAAAAUAUGAGGGCACAGUCACAAUCAAAAGAAAAAUUA